UGCUUUGCGCAUGCGCGGAGCGCCCGCGGAAAUUCAAACGCUCGAGCUCAGCUGACAGACGCAGACGUUUGAAAAUUACACAAACUCUGACACGGUUAUUUUACUGAGGUAUUAAGAUGGAAAAUCAAAAGAGACCGAGAGAUCCGCUGGAGGAAAACACUUCAGCCUCUUGUGAACUUGAAAAUGUGUUGAAGAAAAGGCGGUUGGCAGCAGGGGGAGAGGAGAACCUGGACCCCAAGAAAUCCCCUGCCAGGACACGCUUGAGAUUGGCAGAGCUGGAGGUGAAACCAGACACUCCUGCCAUAGCCUCCAUCCGCUCCAGAGUCCAGCAACUCAGCCAGAGACGAGAUG